rnacentral:lncRNA from 1 species
AGCUUCCGGAGCAGCUGGGACUGCUGGCGCCCGCCACUACGCUCGGCUAAUUUUUUUGUGUUUUUAGUAGAGACGGGCUUUCACCGUGUUGGCCUAGCGGUUCUCCAACUCCUGACCUCAUGAUCCCCCCGCCUCAGCCUCCCAAAGUGCUGGGAUUACAAGCGUGAGCCACCGCGACCCGCCAACACUCUUGACAACAGUGCUGUGCUAAGAACUUGGGGGACUUCAAAAAGUUCACCAGUUCCUGUGUCCAUGGGUGAAAAGAUUUUCUACAUCUUUCCUUGACUAGAAACAGAAGUCCUGAAACAAGAAUAUAACGUCAGGAGGCCAGAGGCUUUGUCCUGCCUAAUGUGUUAUUUCCACACUGAAUAAAAGCACCUGAGUCCUGGUCUCAGAGUGAGAACAAUGUCUUCUAUGAUGAGUGGCAAACACAACAAGGCAUUUUAAAAAGGUUGUACAUCUAGCAAUACCUAACAAAAUAGGAAAUCAACUUGUGUCAUUGCAAGAGCAGUUUAGACAAGGCUACAAAUCUACAAGAUGACAUCAGUUAAUACAGUGAAGACAGCUGGAAAUGCAGAGCAUUCAUACAGGAGGCAAUGUAUUGUAAUGGAGAUUUCCGUUUCAUUUCUCAGCAGAGAGCAGCCACUGUCUUUUGUGUUUGGAUAGACAUAUGGAUAUAAGAAAAAUUAUAGAAUAGGAUAGAAGACAUAGUAAUCUAAUGAGUGUUCUGACUGAAUGUUCUAACCUAUGAAAUUAUCAGUCCAAAACUACAUGUUCAGAACUUACGUGCAACAUUAUCUUGCGUUAUAUUAGUAAGUACAUUAAAGGAAAUAGUGGGAAGAAUAAAAUUAAGAGAAGAAAAAAGGUUUUUUUUUCUUUUUACUUGAAGAGCUUCUUUUCAGGAAUGGUAUGAGUUUUUCCCCAAGCCACCUUAAUUUUAAAGUGGCUAU